AGUACCAAUUUAUUUUUAUAUUUUUUAAAUUUUUGUUAUUCAUUUUUAUUGCAAGUAGAUGCUAGGAUCUAGUUAGUAGAUUUUAGUAUCCAAUUUAUUUUCGCACUUUUAAUUUUUAUUUUCCAACUUAAAUUACUUUCUCCAAAAUUUUAUUUUUUUUGUAAAAUCAAAGAUUUCAAAUCAAAAUCCUACUUUCUCUGUAGAUUAG
rnacentral:lncRNA from 1 species